rnacentral:rRNA from 1 species
UACGAAGGGGGCUAGCGUUGUUCGGAAUUACUGGGCGUAAAGCGCACGUAGGCGGACUUGUUAGUCAGGGGUGAAAUCCCGGGGCUCAACCUCGGGACUGCCUUUGAUACUGCAGGUCUCGAGUCCGGAAGAGGGGAGUGGAAUUCCUAGUGUAGAGGUGAAAUUCGUAGAUAUUAGGAAGAACACCGGUGGCGAAGGCGGCCUCCUGGUCCGCAACUGACGCUGAGGCACGAAAGUGUGGGGAGCGAACAGG